rnacentral:rRNA from 1 species
AGUGAACGCUGGCGGUAUGCCUAACACAUGCAAGUCGAACGGCAGCACAGUAAGAUCUCUCUCUUACUGGUGGCGGGGGGCGGACGGGUAAGGCAUACAUCGCAUUCUACUUUUUCGUGGGUGAUAACGGGAGAAAACUGAUGCUACUACCUCAUACUUCCUACGGGUUAAAUCAAGGGAGCUUGGGACCUUGCGCGAUUGAUUUAGCCGAUGUCGCAUUAGCUAGUUGGUUUGGUAAAGUCCCACCAAGGCAACGAUCCGUAGCCGACCUGAGAGGAUGAUCGGCCACACUGGAACUGAGACACGGUCCAGACUCCUACGGGAGGCAGCAGUAGGGAAUCUUCGACAAUGGGCGCAAGCCUGACGCAGCAACGCCGCGUGAGUGAAGAAGGUCUUCGGAUCGUAAAGCUCUUUUAUUAGGAAAGAACAGAAGUGGAAUAAACCCUGCACAUCUUGACGGUACCUAAACAGAAAGCCACGGCUAACUACGUG